AUAGCAAAUUUGAAGGUUGGAUUUUCACUUUUGAAGUCAAACUUAAUUACUUCUAUUGCUCUUUAUGCAACUUCAAUGCACAAGUUGUUAAGGUUCACCUGACAUGAAUUUGGAUCAAGGGAUAUUUAGUUAUUGAUUCGUUAGAGGAAAAAACAUAAAAAGUUUAAAAAGCAAAGUUUUUAGAUAAAAGGAUGUUAUAUCUAGGCAUAAAUAAUGAAAAUAGCAAUACUCCUAUUAGUUUUCAAUGAGGCUUACUGAUAAAUGUAUGUAGCUAUACCUUGCGACGAGUUCGUGUUCGAGGAGAUCCUUUGGUUCGUCUCCCGAUCCGGAUCGGGUAACAGGAACCGUUUGUUUAACAUUGUGGAUUUUCAGAAAUCCUUCCAUGCAAUUUACAGGAAUAAUGUAGAGAGUUCUGGUGAAUCUCGGCCGUUACUUGGUGGAUCUACUGAAAAAUUAGUGUGUUAAAAGAUUAGAAAAUUUGUCGUCUUGCAAAAGGAGAUGGCGAAAAGAAGGACUUCGAGGACUUAGUCAUCCUGAGUUGUUUUGGUGACGGACGCCAGAUUGUAAAGAGUGUCUGUUAUUCUUUUCUGAAUUUCACAUUAUAUUCUCUUAAAUGUUCAGAAAAAGUUUGUAAUAGCAUGCCGUUAUUUUAGCUGAGGAUAUUCCAAAAUACAUGGAGAGAAUACCUUCAGUGAGCAAGAUGUUUCCAACUAUUUCAAUCAAUUUGGACCAGUCCAAGAUGCUAGGAUUCCUUGUCAACACAAGAGAAUGUUUGGAUUUGUAACCUUUUUUUUUUUUUCUUUUCCCAGAGACAGUUAAGCAGAUCUUGGCAAAGGGGAAUCCUUAUUUAGUUUGUGGAGCACGUGUUUUGGUGAAACCUUACAAGGAAAAGCCUAAGGAUCGAGAUAGUGGCCAAGGAUUGAAUCUUCCAGAUAGCCCUUUUGCAUCUCCAAUAAGGAAUGGCAUUUCAACUGUCACUUAGGUUUAAAAAUACACAAGGAUUACUGAAG